rnacentral:rRNA from 1 species
AAAUUACGAGCCCAAGCUUAAAACCCAAAGGACUUGACGGUGUCCCAUCCCCCUAGAGGAGCCUGUUCUAUAAUCGAUUCUCCCCGAUCAACCCCACCACCUCUUGAAUAUUCAGCCUGUAUACCUCCGUCGCAAGCUUACCAUGUGAACGCAUUCAGUGAGCCGAAAGAUCUAACACCCACACGUCAGGUCAAGGUGCAGCCCACGAAGUGGAAAGAAAUGGGCUACAAUUUUUAUAAUAGAACAAACGAAAGACUUCAUGAAACACAGUCACUGAAGGCGGAUUUAGUAGUAAAAAGAAAAUAGAGAGUUCUUUUUAAUCAGGCACUGGGACGCGUACACACCGCCCGUCACCCUCUUCAGAUAAUAAAUAUAAGUUAUUAACACCCCACAACCCAACAGAAGAGGUAAGUCGUAACAUGGUAAGCGUACUGGAAAGUGCGCUUGGAACAACAAAAUGUAGCUUAACAAAAGCAUCUUGCUUACACCAAGAAUAUGUCUGUAAAACCCCGACCACUUUGAGCUUAAAGCCUAGCCCAAUCCAACCCAAUGAAAAACUUACCUAUAGACAAAAUAAAUAAAACAUUUUCUUAACCAAGUAAAGGCGAUUAAAAAGUACCUAGGAGCCUUAACAUUAGUACCGCAAGGG